AUGAGGCCCCAUAGACACCCUGUUAUUAGAAUAGAGAAGAUAUUCACCUGUUUCGUCGUUGUUUUUUAUCAACGGUUUGUGGCCCAGCGUCCAAUGCCCUUUGAACAUGAGUGGAGAGAGUUCGAUUGGAUAAGCUUCUUUGGACUCGAGGUCGAUUGGGGACUGGUAGAACAUGGAGUGCGGAUUCACCUCCGACGAGAGACCAACUAAGUCAUCGUGAUCUAAGUCGUCAUCCAUACCUACACAGCUUCCUGAAUGGGACAAAAAACGGAAAGAUGCUCGGAAAAAUCGCAAAUCAAAAUCCGAGUUGUAGCUUUGCUAUAAAGUAAUUAGAACGUUCUAACUUGAAAACAUAAUUUCGAGCAAUGCUAAGUGUAAGAAGUUGACUUGCUGGGGCUUGAAAAAGUUAGUUUUGUUCUACCUCAAUGUAUAAGUAUUAAGUUAUUUAUUUUUUUUUCCGAUUUUAUACUUAGUUAAUGUUCAAUAUAAUUGCGUCUUACUCUAGUUUUAAUUUAUGUCACAGUACCUAUUUAUUUUAAUACUUUUUUUUGUAUUAUUAUCAUUUGUAUUCAUUUUUACGUAUGAUCCGCCAGAGUAAUUGGGUAUCGCAAUUUGCCAGGCAGAAUAAUGUUGUUUUAUCUUUUAUGUUUUACAUUUUAAAUAAAAUAUAUCUUAUCUUCUCUUAUGUUAAAAUAUGUUAUUUUGAGAAGUUAUUAGAAAUAUUGGCAUUGAAAUUUCGUUUAAGUCUAACAUGUCUCAUACUGAUGCUCAACACAAAAUAAAUUGCAAAAUAUGCAACAUGAGAAACUGAAAUAUAAACACAACAUGUUACAAAUAGGUAACAGUUAUAAAUAACAGGAUAUUUUGACAGUUACUUAAAUUCUUAAAAGUUUCCUCUCCGAAUUUGACAGGUCAGCUUCUUUUUUUUUGGAACAGGCAAUGCUUAGAAUAAGUUGUCUCCAUGAUUUACAUGAUAUUAAAAUGCUGAGAUCUUACCGUGAACAACAAACAACGCAAAAAGAAGGGCGCUUAGGAACAGUCGUGCGCACAUGUCGCUCACUUAAAGUGAUGCAGAGGAGCAGUUGACAAGACAUGAGCACUGAGCAGAAACUUGAGUUCAAGAGAGAAGCAGGAAGAAGACUGGCAGAGCCAUUGCUGCCUGUCCCCCAUCAAAAUAAUCACUGAGGAAAAAAUCUUGAGGGCGACCUUCACCACCUGUGAACUGCAGCCUUGACUGGUUUCAUUGCUCUGAGAGCAUCUCUCCAGAGAAAGGUGAAAUUGGUCUUGAUUCACACUCAUUGAACACUUCAUGUAAAUUGAGGAAAUCGUUGAUUAGAUAAAAGAAUUAAAUAGUCUAUAAUUGAAAUAUAAGUCCAAUAGCUUGAUUUUAGCUUACACAUCUUAGAAGUUGUGUUUAAGCCACAUAAACUGGUAUAUUAUAAUAAUCCUUUUAUUGGGCAUUCUAAAAUAUGUCCUUCUAUACCUCUACUUUGCUAAUGUUUAUUAAAUAUCUUUUUUAUAGUUAUUUAUUUAAAUAUAUUUCAGUGCUGUUUUAUUAGUACAGCAAUUAAAUAUUAUUAAAUAUAUUCUUCUAUACCCCUACUUUAUGUUUACUGGGUAUCUUUUUUAUAUUUAUUAAUUUAAAUAUAUUUAAGUGCUGUUGUGUAAGUACAGCACAUAAAUAUUAUUGAAUAUUUACUUCUAUACCUCUACUUAACACCUACCUAAUAAAUCUAAUAAUACCUAACACUUCGGCUAUUUAUUCAACUCAUCAUACUUGAUGUAAAAUGAAAACCAUGAAUUUCUUUGAA
rnacentral:lncRNA from 1 species